rnacentral:tRNA from 1 species
UCUAUUUGGCAGACCAGUGCACUAAGUUUAAGCCUUAGAUACGAAAUUUCUUAACCAUUCCAAAGAU